rnacentral:rRNA from 1 species
AUGGCUCAGGAUGAACGCUAGCUACAGGCUUAACACAUGCAAGUCGAGGGGCAGCAUUAUCGAAGCUUGCUUUGAUAGAUGGCGACCGGCGCACGGGUGAGUAACGCGUAUCCAACCUUCCCCAUAGUAGGGCAUAGCCCGUAGAAAUGCGGAUUAAUACCCUAUGUAUUCCGAGGAUGACAUCUGAUUCGGAACAAAGGUUCACCGCUAUGGGAUGGGGAUGCGUCUGAUUAGGUAGUAGGCGGGGUAACGGCCCACCUAGCCGACGAUCAGUAGGGGUUCUGAGAGGAAGGUCCCCCACAUUGGAACUGAGACACGGUCCAAACUCCUACGGGAGGCAGCAGUGAGGAAUAUUGGUCAAUGGGCGAGAGCCUGAACCAGCCAAGUAGCGUGCAGGAAGACGGCCCUAUGGGUUGUAAACUGCUUUUAUACAGGGAUAAAGUCGGGGACGUGUUCCCCGUUUGCAGGUACUGUAUGAAUAAGGACCGGCUAAUUCCGUGCCAGCAGCUGC